rnacentral:rRNA from 1 species
GACGAACGCUGGCGGCGUGCUUAACACAUGCAAGUCGAACGGAAAGGCCCUGCUUUUGCUGGGUGCUCGAGUGGCGAACGGGUGAGUAACACGCGAGUAACCUGUCCUUGACUUUGUGAUAACUUUAGGAAACUGGGGCUAUUACCGCAUAGGAGCUCUUGCUGCAUGGUGGGGGUUGGAAAGUUUCGGCGGUGGGGGAUGUAAUCGCGGCUUAUCCGCUUGUUUGUGGGGUAGUGGCUUACCAAGCCUUCGACGGGUAGCCGGCCUGAGAGGGUGACCGGCCACAUUGGGACUGAGAUACGGCCCAGACUCCUACGGGAGGCAGAAGUGGGGAAUAUUGCAGAAUGGGCGGAAGCCUGAUGCAGCAACGCCGCGUGCGGGAUGACGGCCUUCGGGUUGUAAACCGAUUUCGCCUGUGACGAAGCGUGAGUGACGGUAAUGGGUAAAGAAGCACCGGCUAACUACGUG